rnacentral:rRNA from 1 species
GACGAACGCUGGCGGCGUGCUUAACACAUGCAAGUCGAACGAAGUGGCGAACGGGUGAGUAACGCGUAAUCAACCUGCCCUUCAGAGGGGGACAACAGUUGGAAACGACUGCUAAUACCGCAUACGGAAGGAGGGGAUUGCGUGUGAUUGGCUAGUUGGAGGGGUAACGGCCCACCAAGGCGAGUAUCAGUAGCCGGCCUGAUAGGAUGAUCGGCCACACUGGGACUGGGACACGGCCCAGACUCCUACGGGAGGCAGCAGUGGGGAAUCUUCCGCAAUGGACGAAAGUCUGACGGAGCAACGCCGCGUGAGUGAUGAAGGCCUUCGGGUUGUAAAGCUCUGUUAAUCGGGACGCGGUACCGGAAUAGAAAGCCACGGCUAACUACGUGCCAGCCGCCGCGGUAAUAC